rnacentral:rRNA from 1 species
CACGUAGGGCGCAAGCGUUGUCCGGAAUUAUUGGGCGUAAAGAGCUCGUAGGCGGUCUGUUGCGUCCGCUGUGAAAACUCGGGGCUUAACCCCGAGCCUGCAGUGGAUACGGGCAGACUAGAGGUAGGUAGGGGAGAAUGGAAUUCCCGGUGUAGCGGUGAAAUGCGCAGAUAUCGGGAGGAACACCGGUGGCGAAGGCGGUUCUCUGGGCCGAUACUGACGCUGAGGAGCGAAAGCGUGGGGAGCGAAACAGG